rnacentral:rRNA from 1 species
GAUGAACGCUGGCGGCGUGCCUAAUACAUGCAAGUCGAGCGAACAGAUGAGGAUCUUGCUCCUCUCACGUUAGCCGCGGACGGGUGAAUAACACGUGUAUACCCUCCCUAUAAGUCUGGGAUCUCCUCGGAACACCGGCGCUAAUACCGUAUAAUCUAUUGAACCGCAUUGGUCAAUAGUGAAAGUCGGUUUUUGUGUCACUUAUAGCUGGAUCUCCGCCGCAUGAGCUAGUUGUUAAGGUAACGGCUUACGAAGGCAACGAUGCGUAGACGACCUGAUAGGGGGAUCGGCGACCUGGGAGCGUAGACAGGGUCCAGACUCCUACGGGAGGCAGCAGUAGGGAAUCUGCCGCAGUAGGCGGAAGCAUGACAGAACAACGCCGCGCGAGUGAUGAAAGCCUUGGGAUCGUAAUACUCUGUUAUUAGGGAAGAACAGAUGUGUAAGUAGCUAUGCACGUCUUGACGGUACCUAAUCAGGAAGCAACGGCUAACUACGUG